AGAGUUUGAUCGUGGCUCAGGAUGAACGCUAGCGGCAGGCCUAAUACAUGCAAGUCGGACGGGAUUGUGGAGCUUGCUUCACAUGAGAGUGGCGCACGGGUGCGUAACACGUAUGUAACCUACCUUGUUCAGGGGGAUAGCCUCUCGAAAGAGAGAUUAAGACCGCAUAACAUUAAGAUGUGGCAUCACAAUUUAAUCAAAUAUUUAUAGGAACAAGAUGGGCAUGCGGAACAUUAGCUAGUUGGUGAGGUAACGGCUCACCAAGGCUACGAUGUUUAGGGGAUCUGAGUGGAUGACCCCCCACACUGGUACUGAGACACGGACCAGACUCCUACGGGAGGCAGCAGUAAGGAAUAUUGGUCAAUGGACGGAAGUCUGAACCAGCCAUGCCGCGUGCAGGAAGACGGCCCUAUGGGUUGUAAACUGCUUUUGCAGGGGAAUAAACCUCAUUACGUGUAAUGAGCUGAAUGUACUCUGAGAAUAAGGAUCGGCUAACUCCGUGCCAGCAGCCGCGGUAAUACGGAGGAUCCAAGCGUUAUCCGGAUUUAUUGGGUUUAAAGGGUGCGUAGGUGGCUUUUUAAGUCAGGGGUGAAAGACGGUAGCUUAACUAUCGCAGUGCCUUUGAUACUGAAGAGCUUGAAUGAACUAGAGGUAGGCGGAAUGUGACAAGUAGCGGUGAAAUGCAUAGAUAUGUCACAGAACACCAAUUGCGAAGGCAGCUUACUAUGGUUUUAUUGACACUGAGGCACGAAAGCGUGGGGAUCAAACAGGAUUAGAUACCCUGGUAGUCCACGCCCUAAACGAUGAAUACUCGAUGUUGGCGAUAUACGGUCAGCGUCUAAGCGAAAGCGUUAAGUAUUCCAACUGGGGAGUACGCCCGCAAGGGUGAAACUCAAAAGAUUUGACGGA
rnacentral:rRNA from 1 species